rnacentral:rRNA from 1 species
UCUUCUCGGCGGACUCCGGGGCCGUCCAARUUGCUUGGAACAGCACGUCAUAGAGGGUGACAACCCCGUCUGUGGCGGAACCGGGCCGCUCACGAUGUGCUUUCGACGAGUCGGGUUGUUUGGGAAUGCAGCCCAAAAUGGGUGGUAAACUCCAUCUAAGGCUAAAUAUUGGCACGAGACCGAUAGCGAACAAGUACCGUGAGGGAAAGGUGAAAAGCACUUUGAAAAGAGAGUUAAAAAGUACGUGAAACCGUUAAAAGGGAAACGAACGGGGUUAGCAAUGCGCUCUCUGCGAGAUUCAGCCGGGCCGGCGCGCCGGGCGGGCGGUCUGCGGAUCCCUUGAGGACCGCGGCCGUUCGCCGUCGGCGCUCGGACCGUCGCACUUCUCGCGAGCGCGCGCCAACGUCGGUUGGGACUGGGUCUCUCGAAAGGCGCCGGUAAGGUGGACCCGCUCUUCGGAGGGGGUUGUUAUAGACCGGCGUCGAACGGCCCGGGCCCGACCGAGGAGCCGCGGCGCAUGCCUUUCUUCGGUUUGGCUACGGUCCCGUCGUUCCGGUCGGCCGUCCGACUGCGGUGGACUGCGUGCAGUGCACCGCGACCGCGGCCGGUCGCUUCGGCGGUGAUGCGGUACCAUGCGCCCAGGACGUUGGCGGUCAGAUGGCCUCGUCCGACCCGUCUUGAAACACGGACCAAGGAGUCUAACAUGUGCGCGAGUCUUCGAGUGA